rnacentral:rRNA from 1 species
GACAGAGGUCCCGAGCGUUAGGCGGAAUCACUGGGCUUAAAGCGUGUGUAGGCGGAUCGUUAAGUGCUUUGUGAAAUCCCACGGCUUAACCGUGGAACUGCUUGGCAUACUGGCGGUCUUGAGCAACCUAGGGGCAAGCGGAACAAAUGGUGGAGCGGUGAAAUGCGUAGAUAUCAUUUGGAACGCCAAUGGUGAAAACAGCUUGCUGGGGGUUUGCUGACGCUGAGACACGAAAGCCAGGGGAGCAAACGGG